CGCGUAGGCGGCUGUGUAAGUCACUUGUGAAAUCCCGGGGCUCAACUCCGGGGCUGCAGGUGAGACUGCAGAGCUAGAGCUCGGUAGAGGCGAGUGGAAUUCCCGGUGUAGCGGUGGAAUGCGUAGAUAUCGGGAAGAACACCGGUGGCGAAGGCGGCUCGCUGGGCCGAUGCUGACGCUGAGGCGCGAAAGCGUGGGGAGCAAACAGGAUUAGAUACCCUGGUAGUCCACGCCGUAAACGAUGGGUACUAGGCGUCGGGGGGAGCGACCCCCUUGGUGCCGUCGCUAACGCAGUAAGUACCCCGCCUGGGGAGUACGGUCGCAAGACUGAA
rnacentral:rRNA from 1 species